UUAUAUAAAAAACAAAUUAUUUUAUCAAAAUUACAUAUAAUUACGUCAUACUAUAAUUAAGCCGGUGAUAACGCUUUUGAAACAGACACACAAUGAGCCCAUACUUCAUCUCUUUUCUGUAAAUAUUUGGAUUCAUUUCCAAUUAAACUAGGUCUAUCCGCGAUAUAUUUGAUAAGGGUGUCAUGACAGUCUUUUCCUUCUUGUACAAGCUCCUGGCAACAAGGAAUGGAUACAACUCCAUUGCCAAAAACUUGAGAAAUGAUAUUGAGCGCACACUUUGGACUGAUUUUAACAACACAUUGAUCCCAUAACUUUUUGGGUUCAUUUUCUUCUACGGCUAAUGAAGGAAUACAUGUACUCGCCACAACUAGAACAACAAAAGACACCAUAAUAAUGUUAAGCUUGGCCAUGGUUUUUUUGGCUAUAUGGAGAGUUAAUGUUUAAUUUUUCUCAAUAUAGAAUAAG
rnacentral:lncRNA from 1 species